AGGGGUUUAGCUCAGCUGGUAGAGCAUCGGUCUCCAAAACCGAGGGUCGUGGGUUCGAGUCCCUCAGCCCCUGCCA
rnacentral:tRNA from 6 species